GACAGAGGGUGCAAACGUUGUUCGGAAUUACUGGGCGUAAAGCGCGUGUAGGCGGCCCUGCAAGUCGGAUGUGAAAUCCCACGGCUCAACCGUGGAAGUGCAUUCGAAACUGCAGGGCUAGAGUCCUGGAGAGGAAGGUGGAAUGCUUGGUGUAGAGGUGAAAUUCGUAGAUAUCAAGCGGAACACCGGUGGCGAAGGCGGCCUUCUGGACAGUGACUGACGCUGAGGCACGAAAGCUGGGGGAGCAAACAGG
rnacentral:rRNA from 1 species